AUUUAUUUAUUUGGUUUAUAGAAAUAACUUUCUUUUAUAGUAUUUUUUAAAGAAUAAAUUUAUUAUUUUUAUAGUUAAUUUUACUGUAAAGGUUUAUUUUAUUUUAUCAUUAAAGUAAAAGUUUUUUUUGUACCUUUUGUAUCAGGGUUUAUUAAAUUAUUUUAAUUAUUUUUAAUUUUCCCGAAUUUAUAGGAGAUAUUUAAAAUUGUUAUUUAAUGUUUCAUAAUUAUUGAUAAAUUUUAAAUAGUUGUUAUAUGCUAUUCAUCUUUAAAUAUCUGGUUUCUUAAUAAUUGAAUUUAAUUCAUAAUUAACUAACUUACCCUAGGAUCAAUUUAUUUCCUUUGUAAUAGUUAAUUAAAGAUUGAAAGGGAUAAGCUUUUUAAUCUUGUUAUAAUUUUAUUGUUCAAUAAUUUUUUGUAGAAUUAAAAAUUUUCAUCAUUUAUUUUGUUAUAAUUACAUAUUAUAAUAAUUUUAUUUAUUUAAAAUUUAAAUUAUUAUUAAGAUUUAUUAUUUAAUUAUUUAAUUAAUAGUAAUAAUGAUAAAAUUAGUAGGUUUUUAAUUUAAUAUAUAGUAAUUCGGCAAAUUAAUUCCCCACCUGUUUAACAAAAACAUGUCUUAAUGAAUAAUAUUAAUAUUAAGUCUGGCCUGCUCAAUGAUUUUAGUUUAAAUGGCCGCAGUAUACUGACUGUGCGAAGGUAGCAUAAUCAUUUGUCUUUUAAUUGAAGGCUUGUAUGAAUGGUUUGAUGAGGGAAUAACUUUCUUUAUAUUAUAAAUUGAAUUUAAUUUUUUAGUUAAAAAGCUAAAAUUUUUAAAUGGGACGAGAAGACCCUAUAGAAUUUUAUUUUCUUUUUAAAAAUAAUGGUUUGGUUAUAUUUUUUGUUUUUAUUUAUGUAAAAUUUUGUUGGGGUGACAUUGAGAUUUAUUUAACUCUCAUAAUUAAAUUUUUAAUAAUUAUUAUUUUUAUGAUCCUAUUUUAUGGAUAUGUAGAUUAAAUUACCUUAGGGAUAACAGCGUAAUUUUUCUGGAGAGUUCUUAUCGAUAGAGAAGUUUGCGACCUCGAUGUUGGAUUAAAAUUAGAUUUAAGUGCAGCAGCUUAAUUUCUAGGUCUGUUCGACCUUUAAUGUUUUACAUGAUCUGAGUUCAGACCGGCGUGAGCCAGGUCGGUUUCUAUCUUUUUAUAAUUAAUAUAAAUUAGUACGAAAGGACCUUUUAUAUCAAAUAUUUUGUAUGUAUAAUGAAUAUUAUU
rnacentral:rRNA from 1 species